rnacentral:snoRNA from 1 species
AACAUGCUCCCUUAGAUCCAUCUUUGUUUGAUCUCUCUUAUGCUGAGUUCUGCUUGAAGCUUUGGUUUUGAGCAGUUCCACCUAAGAGGGAUUAGCAACUUUAUGGUUGUACAGUCAAAGAUGCUUGAGUCAUUGGCAUGUGAGAGUAAUAUACCUUCACUCUAGUCUCAUGUUCUGAUAGAAAUGACUAAUGUGUCAUUUUUGACUGUCAGGAUUUUGCUGGAGUGUGGACAUG